rnacentral:rRNA from 1 species
GUCUGUGGCCAUGCCACCCUGAACAAGCUCAAUGUCUGAUCUUGGAAACUAAGCAGGGAUGGCCUGGUUAGUACUUGGAUGGGAGACCGCCUAGGAAGACCAGGUGCUGUAGGCA